rnacentral:sRNA from 1 species
CAUUACCGAGUUUACAACUCCCAAACCCAAUGUGAACGUUACCAAACUGUUGCCUCGGCGGGAUCUCUGCCCCGGGUGCGUCGCAGCCCCGGACCAAGGCGCCCGCCGGAGGAACAACCAAAACUCUUAUUGUAUACCCCCUCGCGGGUUUUUUACUAUCUGAGCCAUCUCGGCGCCCCUCGUGGGCGUUUCGAAAAUGAAUCAAAACUUUCAACAACGGAUCUCUUGGUUCUGGCAUCGAUGAAGAACGCAGCGAAAUGCGAUAAGUAAUGUGAAUUGCAGAAUUCAGUGAAUCAUCGAAUCUUUGAACGCACAUUGCGCCCGCCAGUAUUCUGGCGGGCAUGCCUGUCCGAGCGUCAUUUCAACCCUCGAACCCCUCCGGGGGGUCGGCGUUGGGGAUCGGCCCUUUACGGGGCCGGCCCCGAAAUACAGUGGCGGUCUCGCCGCAGCCUCUCCUGCGCAGUAGUUUGCACACUCGCAUCGGGAGCGCGGCGCGUCCACAGCCGUUAAACACCCCAAACUUCUGAAAUGUUGACCUCGGAUCAGGUA